CUCCUACGGGAGGCAGCAGUGGGGAAUAUUGCACAAUGGGCGAAAGCCUGAUGCAGCCAUACCGCGUGGGUGAAGAAGGCCUUAGGGUUGUAAAGCCCUUUCAGCAGGGAAGAAGGGUGCGAGGUUAAUACCCUCGUAUUUUGACGGUACCUGCAGAAGAAGCACCGGCUAACUCCGUGCCAGCAGCCGCGGUAAU
rnacentral:rRNA from 1 species